GUUAUCUUCACUUGCGGUCAUCCGACUCGUCCGUGUGUCGCACUGUCGCUUGAUAAACCUUUAAUAGCGUAAAUGCCGCCGUAAACUAAAGAUUUGUUCAAGUUGAUCAUAAUUGACGACAAACGCAAACAACAUCGGAGUACUGGAUUUACAAACAUGUUAAUAAUUUGAUUGUUGUAGGUGGAAACUAAAGAAUUCUUCACCAAUUAAGACAAAGUAAUAUAAUGUUUAGCCUGAUGAAUUCCUUUGUCUCCACCUUAAAAAUGCCAAUUCAUUUGAAACGGACUUCGAUUAUAAUAUAGAUGUAGGUAGUGAGUAUUUUUAUUUGUUUUUUUUUUUUUUUGUUACCACUUACGGUUGUUGUUGGCUGUCAACCUCUCAGUAUUGGCACAAUAGAGGCAUAUUACAUACUUAAAGGAUUUACCAACGUCCUAACACUUUAAGAGUUAUUCAAGAGCUGUCUAAAGUAAAUUACCAAUAUUUUCAAAUAUUCCCCAAUGGAGAUGAAAUUUAAUGUUGAUUGCAUCAGAAAAAUGAUAAAUAUAUAUAAUACAUGCAGUUCAAAAGGUUUUCAUAUUUCCGAGAAUAACUAAGAAUGUCUUUGUUAAGUAUACAAAUUUGUUAACCAUCUACAAGUAAUUUAUAGAAUUCUGCUGUUCUAAUGGUAAUUAUUGAAAAACAAAUGGUGUGCAAUUAAACUUAUUUUCUUCAAUUACUUAUUUUUCAAACUGAUAUGUUUAACACUUAUUGAUUUUCAGAAUAUUUACAGAUUUAUCUGUAAAUACCUAUAUUAAGUUUCUUAAUCAUAGUAUAUUGAGUAGACCAAUAUAAUAAUAUGUAGCCAAUAACUAGCAAUACAUAUUAUUUUGAUAAUGUGCCAAGUAUUACAUUGUUAGACUUCUAUAAUAGUAAUGACAAUGACCAACGAAAAUAGAAUAAUUUAAUUUAAAUUACAUUUUAUUAAAUAUCUGAUAGUUCUAUGGUUCUAUAUUAAAAAUUCAGUAAAUUUUACUUAUAUUUUUGAAGCAAUUUAGAAGAAUAAAAUAUGUUACUUUUAAUCUAUGACUCAUAACUUGGACUAAGAUAAGUGAAUAAUAGUUAUAUUAAACUAAUUAAAAAUUAUUGAAUCAUACUCAUCUACAUUUAUUUGUAUAUAGUAAAACUAGUUUUUUACAGCCUUGAGUAUGUAUAUAAUAAAAAUGGUAACUAUUAGUUUUGGACAAUGUACAUCAUUAGGUUACCUACUUUUAAAUUAAGUAUACUUGUGUAUAUAUAUAUUAUUAUUCAGAAAGAAACAUAACACUCUCGGGUUUCUCUAAUAGUUCCUAGGCAAAGACAAGACUAUUAUUAGAAACACCCUUUAAUUCAUUAUAAAAAAUUAAUAUUGAAAUAACCUUGUGAUAAAACAUUUAUUUUUUAAAUAAUAAUUUUAUAACACUACCUAUAUAAUAUGUAAAUAAAAUGUAAACCUAAUGUUAGCCAAUGGCCAAUAUUAUAAUUAUAAUCAUAGUAAGUAUAGUAUAUUUUAUAAAUUUAUUACCAAUAAAGUACAAUUUUUAGUGAGAAAAUUUGGUGUAUUAAACAUUAUAUAAAGUUCUAACUUAUUCAUGAUAAUACUUGAUAAAGAUUUCUUACCUAUAUGUUUUUAACAGUGAUGGGAACAAUCCAGUGAUUUUGAUAAUCGAGAAGUUAGUAAUCGAAAAGUUAUAACAAUCGAGAGAUUUACUCGAAAAAACCUUUCGGUCAAUUUAGUAUUUCAUUGAUUUAUUAUUAUUAGCUAUUACACUCAAUACACUCAGUUACUCUGUACUCGAAAAAAUGACUCGGUUAGUACAAAUACUAAAUAGUAGGUAGGUACUAGGUUGUGUGUGAUUUUGCUCGUUCAUUUAUCUCAUUAAUAAAGCAGACCAAACUUACCAAACAUUGUAUACUACUUAUUUAUUUUUAUUUUUUAUUAUUAUAUUAGUAUAAUCAUAUUUCCCGGACAUAUUUAAAGUUUAUUAUUAGCAAUAACUCAUUAACUUUAACAUGAUUACUUUAUUAAUUAUUAUGGUACAACCGUACAAUUUAAUAUGUUAUAUAAUAAUGAA